UACGGGGGGGGGCAAGCGUUGUUCGGAAUUACUGGGCGUAAAGGGCUCGUAGGCGGCCAACUAAGUCCGACGUGAAAUCCCAAGGCUUAACCUUGGAACUGCGUCGGAUACUGGAUGGCUUGAAUUCGGGGAGAGGGAUGCAGGAAUUCCAGGUGUAGCGGUGAAAUGCGUAGAUAUCUGGAGGAAUACCGGUGGCGAAGGCGGCAUCCGUGGACCGACAUUGACGCUGAUGAGCGAAAGCU
rnacentral:rRNA from 1 species